rnacentral:other from 1 species
AAAGACCUGACUUGUGCGUGUGGAUUAUCUUUGGUUUUGAUCCUAUGUAAGUUUAGGGAACUGAAUGGAUUGUUAAGUACAGUAGGCCCUUUCGCAGGGAAACUGGAAAGGCUAUCCUAGGCGCCCACCUGUGAGAGCAGGGUCAGAAACCAGGAGUCCGACGGCAAGUUGGGUUGGGU